rnacentral:ncRNA from 1 species
UCUUUAUCCAGAGUGGUGGAGGGAAAGGCCCUGUGAAACCACAGCAACCGGUUUGUCAACGCCGCAAGGCCCGUGCGAACGUCAGGUGCUAACUCCUACUUGCUGAUGCCUUUUUAAGGCGAACGCGGGAAAGAUGAGGA